GAUGAACGCUGGCGGCGUGCCUAAUACAUGCAAGUCGAGCGAACGGACGAGAAGCUUGCUUCUCUGAUGUUAGCGGCGGACGGGUGAGUAACACGUGGAUAACCUACCUAUAAGACUGGGAUAACUUCGGGAAACCGGAGCUAAUACCGGAUAAUAUUUUGAACCGCAUGGUUCAAAAGUGAAAGACGGUCUUGCUGUCACUUAUAGAUGGAUCCGCGCUGCAUUAGCUAGUUGGUAAGGUAAGGGCUUACCAAGGCAACGAUGCAUAGCCGACCUGAGAGGGUGAUCGGCCACACUGGAACUGAGACACGGUCCAGACUCCUACGGGAGGCAGCAGUAGGGAAUCUUCCGCAAUGGGCGAAAGCCUGACGGAGCAACGCCGCGUGAGUGAUGAAGGUCUUCGGAUCGUAAAACUCUGUUAUUAGGGAAGAACAUAUGUGUAAGUAACUGUGCACAUCUUGACGGUACCUAAUCAGAAAGCCACGGCUAACUACGUGCCAGCAGCCGCGGUAAUACGUAGGUGGCAAGCGUUAUCCGGAAUUAUUGGGCGUAAAGCGCGCGUAGGCGGUUUUUUAAGUCUGAUGUGAAAGCCCACGGCUCAACCGUGGAGGGUCAUUGGAAACUGGAAAACUUGAGUGCAGAAGAGGAAAGUGGAAUUCCAUGUGUAGCGGUGAAAUGCGCAGAGAUAUGGAGGAACACCAGUGGCGAAGGCGACUUUCUGGUCUGUAACUGACGCUGAUGUGCGAAAGCGUGGGGAUCAAACAGGAUUAGAUACCCUGGUAGUCCACGCCGUAAACGAUGAGUGCUAAGUGUUAGGGGGUUUCCGCCCCUUAGUGCUGCAGCUAACGCAUUAAGCACUCCGCCUGGGGAGUACGACCGCAAGGUUGAAACUCAAAGGAAUUGACGGGGACCCGCACAAGCGGUGGAGCAUGUGGUUUAAUUCGAAGCAACGCGAAGAACCUUACCAAAUCUUGACAUCCUUUGACAACUCUAGAGAUAGAGCUUUCCCCUUCGGGGGACAAAGUGACAGGUGGUGCAUGGUUGUCGUCAGCUCGUGUCGUGAGAUGUUGGGUUAAGUCCCGCAACGAGCGCAACCCUUAAGCUUAGUUGCCAUCAUUAAGUUGGGCACUCUAAGUUGACUGCCGGUGACAAACCGGAGGAAGGUGGGGAUGACGUCAAAUCAUCAUGCCCCUUAUGAUUUGGGCUACACACGUGCUACAAUGGACAAUACAAAGGGCAGCGAAACCGCGAGGUCAAGCAAAUCCCAUAAAGUUGUUCUCAGUUCGGAUUGUAGUCUGCAACUCGACUACAUGAAGCUGGAAUCGCUAGUAAUCGUAGAUCAGCAUGCUACGGUGAAUACGUUCCCGGGUCU
rnacentral:rRNA from 1 species